AGCUGCUUCUUUUAUACGGGCUCAGUUUUAUUUCGCCGCCUAAUGUAAAAUCCAAACCCAAAUCCCAUAGGCCCAUGAAAGUUGGCCUUUCAAUGUGUUUUUUUUUCUUUUCAUAAUUUUGCGUAACUUAAGUUUCAAGGCAACUUCAGUAUUUCUCCUUGAAAAUGCUAAAAUAUGACAGAUAUAAACGAUGCAAUAAAUUGACAUAACACCAACAAAUGCUCUAUAGUAAUUAAAUUCGAAUAGGUGAAUAUGUAAUCUUUUAAAAAAAUUGACUUAAUUAAACCUAGAUUAU
rnacentral:lncRNA from 1 species